CACCCGUUCUACUGACAGAUACUGACUUCACAACACAACAGAUAACAAUGAUGUGGGUAAUCUUGAUUGCAGCCAGUUUGAGUGUUGUUUAUGGUCAGUCUCUGACCUCAUCUGGUCCAGUGGUGAAGAGACCUGGAGACUCGGUCACUCUGUCCUGCACUGUGUCUGGAUUUUCUAUGAGCAGCUACUGGAUGCACUGGAUCCGUCAGAAACCAGGAAAGGGGCUGGAGUGGAUCGGAUAUAUUGAUACAGGCACUGGCACAACAUUUGCCCAGUCUCUCCAGGGCCAGUUCUCCAUCACCAAAAACUCAGACAAACUGAACCUACAAGUGAACAGCCUGAAAGCUGAGGACACAGCUGUGUAUUACUGUGCUCGAGACCCACAGUCACACAUGAGACUGCAGAGCUGCACAAAAACAACGGACUGA